CGCACAUCGUCUCUCUCCCUCAUCCAUUUUUAGCCAAAGCUCAGGCCCUUUCAACCGUGGCAGAUCCUGCCACCCCCAUUUUCGUGCAAUACGCACGGCUCCUCUUCCCCUUCUCUUCUCUCUCCCUUCCAUUUCAGGCAAAACCACAGUUGCCUUUAACCAUGAAAGCUCUUGUCCACACCAUUUCCAUACAAAGAAAUUGUCCCUUCCUUCUGCUGAAUCUGAACCUCCUGUCGUUGACAGGGAAAGCUUUCCAUUUUUUCGUUCCAAAACACGACGAAUCCUCACAGACCAGAAAUGAUCGAACCAUUUUCGGUAACCCCGAAUCAAAUCACGUGAAUGGCUUCAACGUUCGGAUCAGUAGGGUUUUGACUCAAUUUCGAAUUUUAGGUUUCAACAUCCCGCCCAAAAAACCCUACAAAUCAUACUAUAAAUACAUCUCUAAGUUCGUUUUGAAAGGGGACGGAUUUUGGACGACACUCAACAUUUUUUCAUUACUACUCUAAAUCCGGGAGUUGUUCGAAUUCCGUUCUGUUUCAGUUCUGGUCAGCCACCUAAACCCUUCCUAAAUAUUUAUAUUUUCACAAUCACUGUAUUUGGGAACACACCCACUUGCAAGAUUAAGUCGUUUUUUGGCUAUUACUUUAAAAAAUCGAGGGAAGAUCCGAGACUCCCGCUCCUAAGUUCACUGCACCCACAAGAGGUAAACCCAAUCCCUUUAUUCGCUCUUCCUUCCGUUGGAGAUUGUGGCAAAAAAUGGAAUAUAUGAAAUAAAUGAGUGAAACAUGACUAUUUUUAGUUUGGUUAAUUUGGAAUUCUGUUUUUUGUUACGUUUGAAUCAUGUUGUUGAAUUGUUAUGAGGAAGCUCUUUUUAUUCGAUUUGUAUUCUCGGAUGUUGCAAAAAUCCUAUUCGCUUGCUUGAAUUCAAGGUCGUAUUUUCUGGCCGCAUAUCGUCCAAAGUAUGAGUCUUCGACAAGUGUUCCUGAGUGUUCUAUGUGUUCCAGAAUUUUUGCUUUGCGCAUUAGGAGAUUAGUUCACAUUCCCUUCUCUGUUCUUUUCUUACAUAUUUGCUUUAGAGCUUAGAUCAAUUAAGUUAAGGCUUCCAAUUUCCUGUCAAUCUGUUCUCUAAACUUUAAUGUGUCUUGUUGAUAUGUCUAACUGCCUGAUAUUCGACUCUAUUUUGAUUCUUCUCCGUUGUUUUGAGAGAAUUCUACGUUUGAGAAUCGCAACUUAGAUAUUCAUACCAAUAUGUGUUGUAGAAUCUGGACAUUUAUGUGAUAUUAAGAAUCGUGUCUUGUUUGUUUGGUAAAAUGUGAUGUAUCGUUCUCAACCUACCAGAAGUCCGUGGUUACACUUUUCAUUUUUUUACUUGAAGCAUAUUUCGUGUCUUAAUGCGUAUUAGGAAAAUAUCACCAGUUUUUUUUUUUUUUUUUUUUUUUUUUGUGUUUUGAGGAUUUAGAUGUCAUGAAAAAUAGAUAUUAAGCAGGUCUUUGUUUGUUGAGGUUACUUUUAUUGGGUCAGUUUUUGAUAUAUCAGUUCGUUAAAAGAGCAUGUUUUUUCGGGAUUUUACAUUUUGAUACAAAAUCUGGUUGUGUGCUUUAUGUGGAAAGAUGUCCCUCCAGUAUUUUAUGGUAAUCAUAUUUGGUUUACAUCUCCAUAUGCUGCUGUUAUCAUGCCUGGCUGAAUUACUAUCUUUGAAUAAGUUAGCCUAUAUUUAGCACAUUAUUUGAAGCAUCGUUUUAGUAGUUCCUCCCUAUUCUUAGCUAAGGAUCAGAUUUUAAAAAAAAAACGGAGACUAACGUUUCAGUCAUUGUGCCUGUAUAUAUCUGUUGUUUAAAGGAACCUAUCUGUUUAUUACUACUCAAUAUUUGAACUUAGUUGCUAUUAUCACUCAUGUUGAUCAACCCCGACUGGUUUGGGGUUGAAGAAUUGUUGGUUGAUCGAUGUUGUGGUUAUUUGCGCUUGGAAUGCCAAACUUGAGUGCUGUGCUUUGCCAUCCGAACUUUUUCAAACUGGAUCUGCACUUUUCAAACUGGUGAACCUCUUGUACUGUUGAGAUUGCAAAGUAUUAAUGAAGAGUAAACAGAAGUAAACCAGUGGAUAAAGUGUGUAUUUUGCCAAGUGCAGUGAUAGACUUAAGUUUAGACAAUAAAGAAACCCGAAAGAAUAGGAUGGCAAAGUUAAUACUCCUACCUUCUCCUACGCCCAAAAUGAAUAGAUGCUUAUAUGAUGAAAUAAAGUAGACGUGUACUUAGUUUGGUCUGAUGGGUUUCUGUUUCAUUGCAAGUAUAUGAUCGUAAAAAAUAUAUGAAAUCCAUCUUUCCUUGGUCACAUGAUAAAUUUUACUUAGAACUGAAGAGAUGCUUAAAUAUUUUACCUGCUGAGAAUUAAAUUUCCAUUUGCUAAUUCCUCUUAUUUUCUUUUCUUUGUUGACAUGUACACCGGAGUCGAAGAGUCUUACUUUAAGACUCGAUGUCACCCCGCAAAGGCUUGAAAUGUGCAUUCACAUCCUCCUUCAUGCCUUUUCGGUUCCUCGAAAUUCGUCCGAACAGAACUGAAGAUCUGAGAAGGGAAAUGAUAGACAUUUGGCUGUGCUUUCCUUUAAUUAUUUGUCCUUAAUAUUAUGCCUGCUAGCCUUUUAGCCGUUACUAUAGAUACUGGUUUGCUAAUUGCUCUUGUUUGUGAUCAGCUUAGAGUUUGAACAUUUUGAAUUCAGGUUCUUCGAUUUAGGCAAUUAGGAAAGUAUUUAGUUGUUAGUUAUGUCGUUUGUCACAUAGGUUUAUCACUCUUAAUUCACAAAUUAUUCACUUGUUCUACCAUGUGGACUAUAAUAUCGGAUAAAGGUUCCUUUUAGGCUGUCACGUUCUAAGGCAAAGAAGAAGAGAUAAAAAAAAAAGAAAAAGGGAAGCUGGGUAUAAAAAGGCUCAACCUCGGAUAGGACGUAUGGUUAUUAUUUGUGAGAAAUUAGAAGGUUAUCAUAUCCAAUGCAGAAAGAAGUGUUUGUCCAUAAGAAACUAAAACAUCACAAUACAUUUUAGUCACUGCCUUUCACCUUAAACACUAACUCCCACUCCUUAGUUUAACUACCUUAGGUUAAUACAUAAUUUUUACAACUUACACUUAGCUUAAUUAAUUCAGUUAAGUCCGGUCAGUUAACCAUUAUUAAUGGAUCUUAGAGGAUGCCUAAUACCUUCCUUCUAGAUUAAUUGAACCAUUACCUAGAAUUUUAAGUUAGUAGAUCUUAAAACGAAGUUAACUUUAGAAGAUAACUUUAAUAAACUUUAGGUGUCCUAAUUCAUCAUAAAUAAUUAGGUGGUGACUCCCAACUUUAAUUAAUCCCGGAAUUAUCCGGAUGUUAUAAACUAUUUUGAUUCCGGUUAAAAUAGGGUAUAACAGCGGUUUAUUGGUAUUGUUCAUGUUCGUGAUACUAGUGCUUUGUUUCUAAGAAAUGAAAUUGUUGGUUUACUUGCUCAACAUUCUUUAAGCCCAUCUUAUAUACGUGGACAAUGUUAUGAUGGAGCAAGCAAUAUGCAAGGAGAUUUAAACGGGCUUAAAAUCUUGAUACAAAAAGAAAGUAAAGGUGCUCAUUCUAUUCAUUGUUUUGCUCAUCAACUCCAAUUAACUCUUGUUGCGAUUUCUAGAAGAUGUGAUGAAGUGCAGGAACUUUUAUCGUUGGUUUCUGAUAUAUUAAAUAUGGUUGUAGCUUCUUUCAAGUGUAGAGAUGAACUUCGUGAAUCUCAAGCAAAAGAAAUUGAAGAAGCAUUAUGUAAAGGCGAACUUGAAACUGAUAGGGGCUUGAAUCAAGAACUAGGUCUUGCUAGAGUCGGUGAUACUAGAUGGGGAUCUCACUACAAAUCUUUUAAAAAUUUUAUUCUUAUGUUUGGUCCUAUCAUUGAUGUACUUGAUGCUAUUGCUGUUAAUGCCCGUUUUGAAGAAAAGUGUAGGGAAAAGGGAUAUCUUAAAGCAUGUUUAACAUUUGAGGUUGUCUUCAUGUUGCACUUCAUGCGCACUAUUUUAGCAAUCACAAAUGAGCUUAAUGCAGCUUUUCAAAAGAAAGAGCAAGACAUUGCAAAUGCCAUGCUACUUGUUGGAGUGGCAAAGGAGCGACUGCAAAAACUAAGAGAAGAAGGUUGGGAUUCACUUAUUGAUGAGUUGCUACUGCUACAGUUGAAAGAGCUUUCUCUGUGCUGAAGUUGAUUAAGACUGACUUACGAAAUCGAAUGGAUGAUGAGCUUUUGAGUGGUUGUUUGGUGCCUUAUAUAGAAAAAGAAAUAUUUAGUGCUAUUUCUAAUGAGGAUAUUAUGGAUACCUUUCAAAAGAUGAAAUCUCGUCGAGGAGAAUUGUAAUAAUGUACUUGGAAUGAGUUUUAUUAAUACGAUUUGAGUUGUCUUUUUAUAAUAUGAUAUCAUUAUAGUGAUUUAUUCAGUUGUUCACUCUUUUACAUGGUGACACUGCUUAUGAAAAAUCCUGCGUACGCCACUGCUCAAUUGGUUGGAGUGUAGAAGCGAACCUUCAGGUGUGGCUCAACAGAAAGGCUUUCAAGGUUGGCGAUGUCCUCGUUUUCAAUUACGACCCCAAACUCCAUAAUUUGGCUCAAGUGGAUAUCACAGGCUACAACACUUGCCUUCCAACAAAUAUAUUGAGCAUUGAUAACAGCGGGAAGACCAGUGGCGGAGCUAGAAUUUCCAUCGAGGGUUCAAAAUAUAAAAAAAUAAACAUACGAAGAAGUCUAAGGGGGUUCAACAGCUACUAUAUAUACAUAAAAAAUAAUUUUAACUUUGUAAAAACAGUAUUUUUUUCCACCGAGGGGGUUUGGAUGAACACUCUCGACAUAGUGUGGCCCCGCCACUGGGGAAGACCACUAUCACUAUUUCCAAAUCAGGAGUUUUCUACUACAUUUCUUCUCUCUUCAAGGAUUGCCUCGACGGUCUCAAGAUAACUAUUAUUGUACUUUGAGAACGAGUAUAAAGAAUGUUUGUACACGUGCAUCGUUACAAAUCAUCGACGCAUGUUUAUCUCUGCUAAAUUAAGUAUUGUCCUGAGUAAACUGUAACUAUGCAGGCUUAUCUCUUGUGAAAAAUAAAUUUACAUCUCUCAAUAAGAAUAUUGGUAUGUUUGUGUUUCAAAUUU